UGCGUAGGUGGUUUCUUAAGUCAGGAGUGAAAGGCUACGGCUCAACCGUAGUAAGCUCUUGAAACUGGGAAACUUGAGUGCAGGAGAGGAAAGUGGAAUUCCUAGUGUAGCGGUAAAAUGCGUAGAUAUUAGGAGGAACACCAGUGGCGAAGGCGGCUAUCUGGACAACAACUGACGCUGAGGCGCGAAAGCGUGGGGAGCAAACA
rnacentral:rRNA from 1 species